rnacentral:tRNA from 1 species
GACUUCAAGGGGGCCUUGAGUGAGCUGAAUGAGGU